UGGAGCAUGUGGUUUAAUUCGAAGCAACGCGAAGAACCUUUACCAGGUCUUGACAUCCCGAUGCUAUUUCUAGAGAUAGAAAGUUACUUCGGUACAUCGGUGACAGGUGGUGCAUGGUUGUCGUCAGCUCGUGUCGUGAGAUGUUGGGUUAAGUCCCGCAACGAGCGCAACCCCUAUUGUUAGUUGCCAUCAUUCAGUUGGGCACUCUAGCGAGACUGCCGGUAAUAAACCGGAGGAAGGUGGGGAUGACGUCAAAUCAUCAUGCCCCUUAUGACCUGGGCUACACACGUGCUACAAUGGUUGGUACAACGAGUUGCGAGUCGGUGACGGCGAGCUAAUCUCUUAAAGCCAAUCUCAGUUCGGAUUGUAGGCUGCAACUCGCCUACAUGAAGUCGGAAUCGCUAGUAAUCGCGGAUCAGCACGCCGCGGUGAAUACGUUCCCGGGCCUU
rnacentral:rRNA from 1 species